AAGAAGAAAAAUGAAUUCCCAUUUUCACGAACAUUUUUAUGCUCUUCACUCCUUGAUAUCCAGACGAGGUGUAAAUUGUUUGCAGCGUUCACAAUCAAUCAUGGCUCCGUCGAAUCGUGUUGCCCGAAACCCUACAAAAGAAUUCGGUACGUGUACCAAUUUAACCCUGUAGCAGCAGUUUAGCUGUUCGUCCACACUUUUCUUAGAUCACGGUGUUAGAUUUGAGCAUAUAUGUUUGAUUGUUGAAGUAUAGAUGGCGAGACAGAUCGGUAAUACGAGAAAAAAAAAAAAAACGGUGAAAGAAGAAGUUCAACAGUAAUAAGCAAUCGAGUGAUAAAGAUCUGAAUGAUGGGAGAGACAAAUAUUGCUGUCAUAGUCGUAAACAAGUAUUCUAUCAUUCUAAGUCAUUGGGUAAUCGCCGUUAUCGCAAGAAUGAAAGUGAGUCUCCGGAUUCUGAUAAAAGGGAUUGGAGUAAACUACACGAGAGACAUGAUGAACACAAACGUGGGCAUAAAGGUAGCUGAAGGAGGCAUAUUGGUGGAAAUCUGUAUUCAAAGUUCUCUUUUGGCUGACAAUUUUAUUCAAACUCAACGCGAUUAAUAUGACGAAUAUGCAUUCGUUGCUGUUGUCAAAACCAAGGCGAAUCUUGAAUCAUCAGAGAGAAUAUGUGGAAUGAUGAGAAAAAUAUGCAAGGGGUCAUAGUUAUGAAGUGCUGUUUAUUUUAUAAUCAUUAAUUUCUCAAAGGCUCUUGUCAAUCCCUGCAACGACAAUGACAAAGUUCAUAUGUCUCAAGUGCUAUCCCUCUGGAAGAAAGACAUGCAUGCCCAUACACCCUCCACUUAAAUUGUGUCAGUUUGACUCCCAAGUCCCAAGAGGCCACAUGCGUGUGGUAGGCAAUUGUUGUUUGGUGCGUGGAGAAGCUGAAUUCCAGAUUGACAAUCUAGCUUGGAAAUUGCAACUUCACAUAUGUACGUUUGCUGAUUCUGCUAUAUAUUAGCACAAUGGACAUGAAUUGGUUUAAGGUUCUUAUUUCUUAAUUUUACUUGAGUAAUCAUUUAGUAUUUCAACAUUUGUUCCAAGUUGAAGUCCUAGAAAUCCUGUCUGGAUGAGGGCUCUUCUUGGAAAUGUAAAAUGGUCAAGAUUAAGCUCUCUUUUCAUUUGUCGAUCGAUUGGUUGAUAAAAAAAAAAAUUACUUAUAAAUUACUUUCUCAAAAA